rnacentral:rRNA from 1 species
GAUGAACGCUGGCGGCGUGCCUAAUACAUGCAAGUCGAGCGAACAGACGAGGAGCUUGCUCCUUUGACGUUAGCGGCGGACGGGUGAGUAACACGUAGGUAACCUACCUAUAAGACUGGGAUAACUUCGGGAAACCGGAGCUAAUACCGGAUAAUAUUUCGAACCGCAUGGUUCGAUAGUGAAAGAUGGCUUUGCUAUCACUUAUAGAUGGACCUGCGCCGUAUUAGCUAGUUGGUAAGGUAACGGCUUACCAAGGCAACGAUACGUAGCCGACCUGAGAGGGUGAUCGGCCACACUGGAACUGAGCCACGGUCCAGACUCCUACGGGAGGCAGCAGUAGGGAAUCUUCCGCAAUGGGCGAAAGCCUGACGGAGCAACGCCGCGUGAGUGAUGAAGGUCUUCGGAUCGUAAAACUCUGUUAUUAGGGAAGAACAAACGUGUAAGUAACUGUGCACGUCUUGACGGUACCUAAUCAGAAAGCCACGGCUAACUACGUG